GGCACUGUAGCUUAUAGGUUAAAGCACCUGUCUCGUAAACAGGAGAUCCUGGGUUCAAAUCCCAGCAGUGGCU
rnacentral:tRNA from 1 species